AUUGAACGCUGGCGGCAGGCUUAACACAUGCAAGUCGAGCGGGGUGAUGGUGCUUGCACUAUCACUUAGCGGCGGACGGGUGAGUAAUGCUUAGGAAUCUGCCUAUUAGUGGGGGACAACAUCUCGAAAGGGAUGCUAAUACCGCAUACGUCCUACGGGAGAAAGCAGGGGAUCUUUAUGACCUUGCGCUAAUAGAUGAGCCUAAGUCGGAUUAGCUAGUUGGUGGGGUAAAGGCCUACCAAGGCGACGAUCUGUAGCGGGUCUGAGAGGAUGAUCCGCCACACUGGGACUGAGACACGGCCCAGACUCCUACGGGAGGCAGCAGUGGGGAAUUUUGGACAAUGGGCGCAAGCCUGAUCCAGCAAUGCCGCGUGCAGGAAGAAGGCCUUCGGGUUGUAAACUGCUUUUGUACGGAGCGAAAAGGCUCCCUCUAAUACAGGGGGCUCAUGACGGUACCGUAAGAAUAAGCACCGGCUAACUACGUGCCAGCAGCCGCCGUAACAC
rnacentral:rRNA from 1 species